CCUACGGGUGGCUGCAGUCGAGGAUCUUCGGCAAUGGGGGCAACCCUGACCGAGCGAUGCCGCGUGCGCGAUGAAGGCCCUCGGGUUGUAAAGCGCGAAAGUGGGGAGAAAGGCGAAAGCGUGAUCUAUCCACAGUAAGCUCGGGCUAAGUUCGUGCCAGCAGCCGCGGUAAGACGAACCGAGCGAACGUUGUUCGGAAUCACUGGGCUUAAAGGGCGCGUAGGCGGGCUGUCAAGUUUGGGGUGAAAUCCCGCGGCUCAACCGUGGAACUGCCU
rnacentral:rRNA from 1 species